UACGAAGGGGGGCUAGCGUUGCUCGGAAUUACUGGGCGUAAAGGGCGCGUAGGCGGACAUUUUAGGUUAGAGGUGAAAGCCCAGGGCUCAACCCUGGAAUAGCCUUUAAUACUGGAUGUCUUGAGUUCGGGAGAGGUGAGUGGAACUCCGAGUGUAGAGGUGAAAUUCGUAGAUAUUCGGAAGAACACCAGUGGCGAAGGCGACUCCACUGGCCCGAUACUGACGCUGAGGCGCGAAAGCGUGGGGAGCAAACAGG
rnacentral:rRNA from 1 species